GAGGAUUUCAGGUCGUCGAUGGAAGAAUGGAGUUCAGCCGAUUUCUUGUCAAUUUUCAUAGAAAGACCUUUGUUACCAUCCUGAAUUUCCCGGAGGAGAGUAGCCAGGAUGUCUUGCGAGGCUGCCGAGAGCAAUAGUCUGGAACCGUCGUCUGAGAUAUGAGGGCUAAUGCUAAACUUGCUAGCUGUGGCAUUAUCGUUGUCUUGGGAUUCAACGACGUUUUGGUCGUCCUUCUUGCCUCUCGGUCGGAGGUCCAUGGCUCUUUGGGAAGCUCCGCGGCAUCACGUGUCUCCCCCAAUUGAGAUGGUUUGGAUGAGUUGGACCGCAGAGUGAAGGAAAAGCAGCUAACAAGUUCUCAGCCUAUGUGGGAACUCCUUCAAGACUGUUGGAAAAGCAUUCUAGGUGAAGUUGGUUGAGAGAAAGCCAAGCGUGUGCAAAGCUGUCAUCAAGGCAAAGGGUGGGGCUCAAAACAGAUGGGCCUCUGCCCCUCCUUCCCUGAAUGAUGCAUCGCCACUGCAUAUUCUUGACCUUCAACAGAUGCACAGCCUUUGGCAGGGGAAAAAAUGCUCUGCUGUGAGAGUAAAAGUCUCCCACUCAAUGGUGUUCUGUUUCAAAGAUGUAUGAACGCCACCACUGGGAAGACGGACAAACAAACUAAAGCCAAAGACAAAUAUGCUGUUAAAAUUAACAAGAAUGCAGUAAGUUCAAAGACAGAUCACUGUAAUUUAUACCAUACACGUGUACAACAAUUUAAUUUUAAUAAUAUUGAAGAACUAACUAACAAUGGAAUGUUCCUCAAUAAAUUGGAAGAUUACGGGACUUUAAACAGGUGUCCCAACUCUGUGGCCACAAAGGAUCCCAUGGGGUGGUGCUUAUAUUUGUCCUGUUUUCAACUGCAUGUGUAUAUCAUCAAACUAUUCCUAUCAUGUAAUACUGUGUAUAAAAGUACCAUUGUAUGUAAAGUGUAUGAAUAAUGCAUAUGUAACAAAAUAUAUGUAAAAAAAAUAAUUGUAAGUUACUUUUGUCCUCUGAAGAGGGGGGUGGAUGGGCC
rnacentral:lncRNA from 1 species